CAUCACCAGCUCCUGUACAAUCACCAAAGUUAAGCAAUGUUGAGUCUGGUCAGUACCUAGAUGGGUAACCACUUGGGAAUUCCAGAUGCUGUAAG